rnacentral:piRNA from 1 species
GUGGGGCUGGAGAGAUGGCUCAGAGGUU